GUAAUAGUAUUAUUGGGCCUUUAGUUACAUUUAUUUUCAUUGUAUUACAUACUUGCUAUUUUAGGUAUUAGAUCAUUUAAUUGAAGAAAUAAAAGGAAUGUGCAUUUGGCUAAUAUAUUAAAUGAGUGAAAUUAACUGGCAUGUAAAGAGCAAACAUUAUCAGAAACAUGGGCUGGGGUGAUGACAGCUUCCGAGGAGGACGAUUUGGGAACGGAGGGUGGAAGAGAAGUCACAGUAACGAAGAUCCUCAAGGACAACAUCUAAACACAUGUGUCGCCUGCAAUACUGGUUUUGGUCACACCGGCGUGUUUGAGAAAAACUAUGACGACAACUGUCCAGGGUGCAGAUACGACAGGUCAAUGAGACGACAAGACAGUACAAGUUCGAACACAUCCGAGGUUGUCACCAUUGGAUCUCUAUUUGUUAAACCUGAAAAAUCACCAUCCGGGAAGCCCGCACAAUCUUUCUUCUCAUCGACAAGGCCGACCAAGUUAGCCAGCAAAAGUCUUUGGGAUUAGAUUGAAUUACUCGUUGAUUCGCAUGACCGUUGACUUUAAUUAAAAAAAAUAUCCAACUUUAUUGCUUGUUUUGUACUGUAUGAAAACUUUUAAUUGUAUCAACUGUGUCUGACAAUCUUAUACACAUAAAUGUUCUCGGAUAUUGUUUGUAUCGUUUUAUUAUUGAUUAGUUAAAGCGUGUUUUCUUUUUUCUAUUGUAUUGUUACAUAAUUAAUAAAAUUAGAUACAAAUUCUUUAACAAAGUAUUUACUAUGAAUGCCAUUUUCAUUCGUUCUAUUAAUCAAAUUUACGCUUUAAUGGAAUACGACUUGAACGUAAAUAAAAAGCAAAGAAAAAUAAUGGACGGCAAAUUAAAACAAUUAUAAAUAAUAAGGCAAUAGAUGAUUCUCUCAUUUCCUUUUAAAAGUUGUAUGCGAUGUUUCUUUUUUUUAGCACUUUGAUUUAUUUUUGACAAUUCAACUUUGAUUAUCUAUAUAAAUAAAAUUGAAGCAUCUGAAGAUUUUCUUUUGAUAUAUCUUACAUUUUAGCAUAACUUAAUACCAAAAAAUUCAUGGAAUAUUAAAUAUAAUUAACUUUGAGAGCAAUGGAAAACAAAAGAGAAGUCGGACAUGUAGAAUACAAAUUGAUCAAAUGACUACUGCGUUCGGCGGAAAUAUCGAAUCUGAUUUUUAUUUUGAUCAUAUACAUUCAGACUAUGGGAUUAAAGAUCAAUUUAAAGCUAAUGGCACGGAUAAUGUUCUUUUAAUUAUUUAAAGUGACAUUAUGUCCAUCCAAUUGUACAAAGUGAGUGAACGGGCGAAGAUCAAAAUAAGUUUUCGUUUUGACAUUAUACCUUUAAAUUUAAUAAUUAAGUUCGCAUAAACAAUCAAUAAGGCACAGAUCCAAUCAAAAUUUCUGUAAAUAUCCAUUAGAAUUUACAUAUAACGCUUAGAUUAUAAAAAAGAGUGGGGCAGUCUUUUUAAAUUUUAGGCAGAUUUAUGAUUUUAUUCUAAAGAUUUUACAAUAUCAACUGUUGGUCAAACACCAUUCUGACAGUCAAUCUUUUGAAAUAUUAAGUCAAUUCAGCUCAACUUGACUAUGAAAAUAUGAUCAUAAUGUCACUUUAAGAUACUCUUAUUUGCUGCUUAGUUAUGAAAUAAGACGUAAAUUGCUUUGUGUUUAAAGAACCAGUUAAAAUGUUCCCAUGUCCAAACAGUUCAAUAAUUACAAGAACACGAACUAUUAUCAGGUUAGUAUUCAAAUGUAACAGGUCUAAUGAUUACUAACAGCCACGCUUACAUUUUCAAGUUUAAUGGUAUAAAUGUUUAAAGUUGGUCUAAUGCCAAUUCUUUUACAGAUAAAAAUAGACCUCAUAUCAUGAAUUUCUACGAAAACGAAAUUCUAUCUUUAUAUACUGGUGCAAAAUGAGCUGUUACCUUUGAAAAUAGAUUGUAGCAUAAUAAUAAUGAACUUUAUUACGAAGGUAUGUUACUUUUCCAGACCAAAGAAUGACUCUUUCAGAGAUAAAAAUAGAACUCAUAUCAUGAUUUUUCCACGAAAACAAAAUUCUAUCUUUGUAUAUUGGUACAAAAUGAGCUGGUUUCUUUAUAUAGAAAUUAAGGUCAGCCAUUCAGACUAAAAAACGACUAUUUAGACAAUGUGUGUGACGUUUCGCUGUAAUGCUUGGUUUGCUCAUUGAUUUAUUUUAUAGUAGAAUGUAUCUCAUAUGGCGGACCAUAUAGCACUUGCAGAACAUAACAUAUUGGAUUUUGCACUGUUAAAAUCUGAGCUUAUAACACGAAUUUUUCGAAUUUAUUUUGUCUACAAAUACAUGCAAAUACGCCAUAAAGUUCAAGUUCAGACAGUUCCUAUCGCAUGUUCACCAUGCACUGAUAAAAGGACAAAUGCCAUUCAGGUGUAACAAUAUUUCCCAUCAUAAUCAAUGCCGCAAUGGAAUAUGAUCGUAGAUAACGAUUAAUUAUAAUCAAGUUAUAAUCAUAAAGCAGGUGUCGUUUUCAAAUAUGUCGAAAACUGAUACAAGUUAAUUGUUUAAUUUUAAAACAAAAACAGCUGACACAUACUUAUCACCAUGCCCUGGGGAAGUGGAGGUCUCAACUCAAAUCGUUCUAAAGGCACGCAUUCGUCAUCAUGUUUCGUAGGAAAAUCUGGAUUUGGAAGCUCAGUAAGGUUCAGUAAGAACUGUCCAGGAUGUGAAAGACAGAGGUCCAUGAUGCGACCAGGAAGAGAAAAUAAACAAUUUACUGUUCUCAACAUCGUUAAAAUAUUCAAAUAAAAUUCAUUAUUGCAAACUCAGUAAGAACUAAGUGUUAGAGUUAACCAACAGAAAAAAUUAAAAUAUGGAUUUUAAGAAUUCAAUAAAUGUUGUGAUAUUUUAGAAUUUUAAUAAAAAUCAAGUUUGAAAACAA